UACGUAGGUGGCAAGCGUUGUCCGGAAUUAUUGGGCGUAAAGCGCGCGCAGGCGGAUAUGUAAGUCUGAUGUUAAAGCCCGGGGCUCAACCUCGGGUCGCAUUGGAAACUGCGUAACUUGAGUGCAGAAGAGGAAAGUGGUAUUCCACGUGUAGCGGUGAAAUGCGUAGAUAUGUGGAGGAAAACCAGUGGCGAAGGCGACUUUCUUGUCUGUAACUGACGCUGAGGCGCGAAAGCGUGGGGAGCAAACAGG
rnacentral:rRNA from 1 species